AUCUGCCUGCCUCGGCCUCCCAAAGUGCUGGGAUUACAGGCAUAAGCCACUGUGCCUGGCUGCCGAGUUUAUUUCUGAAACUCAAAUAUUGAACCUCCAGAGAGAAAAGAGAAGAUUCUGUCACAUCUAUACUUCUUAGAAUCUGACUUUUCUAGAAAAAGGUAAUAUCUACACAUAGCCAAGACCUACCCUUUGGGUAAACUAGGAGGUUUAAUUUUUUGGUAAACUUAGAUAAAUACGAGGAGAUUAAAGGCCUCUUCAACUGUUAGGCAGAGCCAUUGUUCACAAUGGAGCGUAUCCCUUGGUGUGAUGGAUUGCAUUGAUGUGUGGCCUUCUCGCUUUGAAUGUGUGCUGAAAAUAUAGAUGAGCAAAAGUACAGACAGUAGUAACACAGAGUCCAUGAGAUCUCCAAGCUGAAAAGGCUGAGAAUUCAGACAGGAGCUAAGGGCUUUUCAUGGUUGCUGAACCUAAAAAACUAAGUUUGUCAGACAAAAUUGUAAUACUUGGUACCAACUCCCCAUAAUAAAAGAUUUUAUUUUAUUUUAUUUUUUUGAUUCAAGUCCACAGGAGUCUUCAAAGGAGACAAGGAGAAGGUGACGAAGGACUCCAACACAGCAAUUUUUAUCUGCAGGCUCUGUUUAUACUUCAUGCUUCCUAGGUUUGGUCUUACCGAAAGAGUUUUCUAACAGUCAGUCUGUUAUAAUCUAGGUCAGAGCACUUCAUUUUGGCCCUUGGGAGAUUAACCAGCCACUUGAAUGCUGAUUUACUGCUUAAAGGACUAAAGACUUUUAAAAUCAUGGGCCUGUAGCUUGCGGAGUUUUGAAAAUAAAUCUUCCUGACUGUGCAGCCAGGCAAUGCAGCUGCACAUACUUUUUGAGGACCGAGAUUCUGAAUGUGUUCAUUAAACAAGUUGACUUAGCAUCCAAGACCCUUCAUGAUUGACAUCCUGUUCACCUGUAGAAAUUCAAGACGAGGCUGGGUGUGGUGGCUCAUGCCUGUAAUCCCAGCACUUUCGGAAGCCAAGAGGGGCCGAUCUUCUGAGGUCAGGAGUUUGAGACCAGCUU
rnacentral:lncRNA from 1 species